UACAGAGGUCUCAACCGUUGUUCGGAUUCAUUGGGCGUAAAGGGCGCGUAGGCGGUCGUGACAAGUCACUUGUGAAAUCUCCGGCUUAACUCGGAACGGUCAAGUGAUACUGUCGGACUAGAGUACAGAAGGGGCAACUGGAAUUCUCGGUGUAGCGGUGAAAUGCGUAGAUAUCGAGAGGAACACCUGCGGCGAAGGCGGGUUGCUGGGCUGAUACUGACGCUGAGGCGCGAAAGCCAGGGGAGCGAACGGG
rnacentral:rRNA from 1 species